rnacentral:rRNA from 1 species
GAUGAACGCUAGCUACAGGCUUAACACAUGCAAGUCGCGGGGCAGCAUUUCCUUAGCUUGCUAAGGAAGAUGGCGACCGGCGCACGGGUGAGUAACGCGUAUCCAACCUUCCCAUGUCCACGGGAUAGCCCGUCGAAAGGCGGAUUAAUACCGUAUGAGGUCACAUGCGGGCAUCUAAAUGUGACGAAAGGUUUGGCGGACAUGGAUGGGGAUGCGUCCGAUUAGGUAGUCGGUGGGGUAACGGCCCACCGAGCCGACGAUCGGUAGGGGUUCUGAGAGGAAGGUCCCCCACAUUGGAACUGAGACACGGUCCAAACUCCUACGGGAGGCAGCAGUGAGGAAUAUUGGUCAAUGGGCGCAAGCCUGAACCAGCCAAGUAGCGUGCAGGACGACGGCCCUAUGGGUUGUAAACUGCUUUUAUGCGGGGAUAAAGUAUGGGACGUGUCCCAUUUUGCAGGUACCGCAUGAAUAAGGACCGGCUAAUUCCGUG